GAUGAAGAACGCAGCGAAAUGCGAUAAGUAAUGCGAAUUGCAGAAUCCGUGAGUCAUCGAAUCUUUGAACGCACAUUGCGCCCGCCAGUAUUCUGGCGGGCAUGCCUGUUCGAGCGUCAUUACAACCCUCAGGCCCCCGGGCCUGGCGUUGGGGAUCGGCGGAGCCCCCCGUGGGCACACGCCGUCCCCCAAAUGCAGUGGCGGUCCCGCCGCAGCUUCCAUCGCGUAGUAGCUAACACCUCGCGACUGGAGAGCGGCGCGGCCACGCCGUAAAACACCCAACUCUUCUGAAGUUGACCUCGAAUCAGGUAGGAAUACCCGCUGAACUUAAGCAUAUCAAUAAGCGGAGGA
rnacentral:misc_RNA from 1 species